UGGGGAAUUUGGACAAUGGGCGAAAGCCUGAUCCAGCAAUGCCGCGUGUGUGAAGAAGGCCUUCGGGUUGUAAAGCACUUUUGUCCGGAAAGAAAUCCUUGGCUCUAAUACAGUCGGGGGAUGACGGUACCGGAAGAAUAAGCACCGGCUAACUACGUGCCAGCAGCCGCGGUAAUACGUAGGGUGCAAGCGUUAAUCGGAAUUACUGGGCGUAAAGCGUGCGCAGGCGGUUUGCUAAGACCGAUGUGAAAUCCCCGGGCUCAACCUGGGAACUGCAUUGGUGACUGGCAGGCUAGAGUAUGGCAGAGGGGGGUAGAAUUCCACGUNUAGCAGUGAAAUGCGUAGAGAUGUGGAGGAAUACCGAUGGCGAAGGCAGCCCCCUGGGCAAAUACUGACGCUCAUGCACGAAAGCGUGGGGAGCAAACAGGAUUAGAUACCCUGGUAGUCCACGCCCUAAACGAUGUCAACUAGUUGUUGGGGAUUCAUUUCCUUAGUAACGUAGCUAACGCGUGAAGUUGACCGCCUGGGGAGUAC
rnacentral:rRNA from 1 species